CCUACGGGAGGCUGCAGUGAGGAAUAUUGGUCAAUGGGCGCAAGCCUGAACCAGCCAAGCCGCGUGCAGGAAGACUGCCCUACGAGUUGUAAACUUCUUUUGUAAGAGGAUAAAGUCAGGUACGCGUACCUUUUUGUAUGUACUUUAUGAAUAAGGAUCGGCUAACUCCGUGCCAGCAGCCGCGGUAAUACGGAGGAUUCAAGCGUUAUCCGGAUUUAUUGGGUUUAAAGGGAGCGUAGGUGGUUGGUUAAGUUAGAGGUGAAAUCUUGAGGCUCAACUUCGGAAUUGCCUCUGAUACUGGCAGGCUUGAGAGUAGUUGAGGUAGGCGGAAUGCAUGGUGUAGCGGUGAAAUGCUUAGAGAUCAUGCAGAACACCGAUUGCGAAGGCAGCUUACCAAGCUACUACUGACGUUGAGGCACGAAAGCGUGGGGAGCAAACAGGAUUAGAUACCCUAGUAGUC
rnacentral:rRNA from 1 species